GACAGAGGGGGCAAGCGUUGCUCGGAAUCACUGGGCGUAAAGGGCGCGUAGGCGGGAUGGCAAGUCGGUCGUGAAAUCCUUCGGCUCAACCGAAGAACGUCGGCCGAUACUGCCGUUCUUGAGGGAUGCAGAGGAGAUUGGAAUUCCCGGUGUAGCGGUGAAAUGUGUAGAGAUCGGGAGGAACACCAGUGGCGAAGGCGGCUCACUGGUCCGGUACUGACGCUGAGGUGCGAAAGCGUGGGGAGCAAACAGG
rnacentral:rRNA from 1 species